GCCCCGAUGGCACAACUGGAUAGCGCAAUCCCCUCCUAAGGGAUAGGUUGUAGGUUCGAAUCCUGCUCGGGGCGCCA
rnacentral:tRNA from 1 species